GUUUUUUCCUGCAGUCGGCCCAGGCAGGACCUGAGCAGCCUGAAGCCAUGAGUCGCUGCCACUGCUCUUUCUGUGCCUGGUGCAGCCCCAGCUCAUGGGGUCUGGGCCGCCUCUGAUCCCAUGCCCCCCACUUCACACUUGGGGUUCUGGCUUCCCCGCUGUGAGCCUGUCUCUCCUCCGUGGGACAGGCCAGCCUGGGCAGCCAUCCCUGUACCCACUGCCCAGCAUAUAGUGGGUGCCUCAUAAAUGUGGGCUGAACAGAGCCUGCCCCUGGGGCCCCACCCUCACUGCCAGGCAUACAGCAGGUGCCUCAUAAAUGUGGGCUGAACAGAUCCUGCCCAUGGGCCCCCCGACUUCCAGACAUAAAGUAGGUGCUACAUAAAUGCAGGCCAAACAGAAUCUACCCUGGGGGCCUCCACUUCCCUUUGAUGGGGGCAGAGACCCUCUGCCGGGCAGCGGCCACCCAGUGCCUGGGACAGGUGCCCCCUUCUCCCACCCUGGCCUAUCUUGGGGCAUCUGAGGGAGGACAGGGCUGUGCCCCCCACUUCAUCCUCGAGGGUCUGGCUUCCCCACCUGUGAGCUUGUCUCUCCUCCGUGGGAGGAGCAGCACCGUCG
rnacentral:lncRNA from 1 species